UCUAUCCACCAAUGAAUAAAUUUAUUGCUCAGCUAAAUCAAAUGUUGAGGUAAUUUUUUAAUACUACAAUCAUAUUUAAAAACUGGAUUCCAAUUGAAGACCCAAGUCUUGAUGUCAGGCCUUCAGUAUCCUAGGCCUAAACCAGAAGUUGCGGAGUAAACAAACCAUUCCAAUUAAUUUAUAUAUUAAAACAAUACAAAUUAAUCUGUUAAUUGUUUAUACUAGUUUCUCAGCAUGGAUACAGUUUCAGGUUUGAUCCAGGCUCUCUGAUGAUCCACAAUUUGUAUACAGGCCAAGAGUUAAAAAUAAUUUGGCAUCUUCCUUUGGUAUACCAAACACUAGCUUAUUAAAUUCAACAAACUUUAAUUUGAACACAUAGAAAUUUGUUACUGAUCAUGAAGAUGUAUUCUCGUUGAACCCUUUAUCAGUUGAAUCAUAGCUUGAAACGUAGAAACUUAAUUACAAUCAAGAAAAGUCACAGUCAACUGUUACCGAGUCAAACACCUAGCCUACGACCAGCUGUUUAUGUAUUUCCUUUCUAGAGUCUAACCUUCCGAGAUGCUCUUAAGUAAUUAUAAAGUUAAAUAUUCAACAAUUACAUUCAUAAAUAUUUUUGUGCUUUUAUUUAAUAGCUAAAUCUGUAAAUUAGCAUCUUUAAACAGUAUUUCAUCUUCACUGGCUUUACCUUGAUCUUGAAGUUUACUUGGUAAUGUUUACCUUUUUAUAUUUCCACAAUCUGAUAAUGAAAGUUUUUAAAUAAUAAUAUUCACCACCAACAAUGGAAUCAAUUGAAUCUGGAUGUCAACAAUCAAAUGAACCUUUGGAGAAUCUAAAGCAACCCAAGAAGCCACUCAUUGACACGGAGUUCGUCAAUUAUCGAUAUGGAUUGUUGAGAAUAGCUCAAGCGCUCAUCUUUAUCAUCAAAAAACACCAUUUUUAUCUCUCCAACUUCCUAGUUUCCCGUCAGUGAUCUGCUAUGCAACUUGUUUCCCUCUUACUUCCCGGCCCACCGUGAUUAUAAUGAUGUUGGUAAUGGAAAUCCAAGUUUCAGUGUUGGUUAGGCUUAGGAACAGGUACAAAAAGUGUCCCUCAACCAGUUACCGUGCGACAUGAGGAAUCAGUAAACCAUAGAGACAAAAUUAAAAUGGCAAGGAUAAGAGGACCAACAAGGUUGUUGUCCGAUUAAUUGAACAAAGCACCUUUUACAUUAUUUUUGCCCAUUUUUCACUCUAUUUUGACACACAAAUUGAUUUUCACUUUCAUUUUGAACCCUUUUAUCUGAAUAUCGCCCCAAUAAAAGCGCUGAAUUGGCCAAAUCGCUUUUGUUUUGCGUUCUGUUUACAUUUUUGAGCUGAACUUUGGGUCCGGAAAUUCAUUAAUCCUUAAGAUUACUUGAUUGUAGCCAUAUUGCUGUUUUUAAUGAGCAAAUCAGUUAUAGCAAUUGAUUUGCUUCCAAUAAUUUUUUGAUUAUAUAUUUAUCUAGUUUUCCAGUAGAUAUUGUAAUGAUGAAUUACGAGUUUUUUUGCUGAUUUUGAUGGAUGAAACCUCAAACAAGAUUUAACGAGAACAAUCAAGAUUACUUAUAAUGGAUCCACUGAAGAUUAAACGAGAAUUGAUUCCUCUUAAUUGUAAUAAGCUAAUGACACGUUAAAAGCCAAGUCUUGAGAUAUAAACCCGAAGCCAAAGAGCAACUCACAUAUCUUGUAUUUACAAUGAAACAGAUUAGAUUAAUCAUAAUAAUGACCAUUGUUAACACCCUUAACUCGAGGUUUGUAUCAUAAUCAGAUUAACAAUCAAAUGAGGAUACCAUAGAAACCUGAAUUAGUUGACCUGAUAAGAUUAAUUAACAUAACAAAUAGCGAUAUCUUAACAUGUUUGAAAGUUGUCGUAUUAUGAUCAUUGAUCAUUGAUCGUUGACCAGACCCAUUAAUCCCUAUCAUCUGUACACUUAACUGUAAACUGACAAUUGAAACAACAUUAGCGUCCUAAUCUAUUAUCAAAUCAGUGAUUAAAGAUCAAAAUGCAAGUCAAAUGAAACUUGCCCAAAGACUAGCCACGGCCUGACAAUCGACUUGAUUAAAGCUCAAAAUUUAUAAUCACUUGAAUCUACAAUUGAGCCUGUUUCUGUGGAGUUGAAAUUGGAAUCAACAUGAUUAAUCAGUUGAGGUGCCUCCAUGUUAAUCAUGUUCCUCUUCACCAGAAUCACCGUUAUAUUUUGAAACACUCAACAUUUAUGUAUAAAACCUGUUAAACCUGUAAAGUUAAUUGUUUGAAACUGAAUUUUUUCUGGUUAAAGGCCUAGUUUUAAUGUCGAUUAUUUGCAAUUUUGUAUGUUUCCAAACAUCAAUAACAUCUUAACCCAUUUAAUAGUUUUAUGUAUUAACUAACAAUUUAGCUUUUUAAUUAAUCUAAUACACUAAUCAGCCUUGAGCUGAUGAAGCAAAAAAUCAUUAUUUUUAACUAAUUACACUAUGGUUCAAUCAGAGAUGGAAUAGUAAUGAAUGUUUCAUUUUGUUUGCCUAAUGUUUUGAUUUUGUCUUUAAUCAACUUGAAAACCAAUUUAAAAAACAUUUUCACAUAAAUAGUAACAAUUUAGGAACAUGUUCAUAAUUUCAAAUUGAGCGCUUUAACUUUGAAAUUUAAGCUAACGGCUUUUAGUGGAUAAAGGCUUUUACUUUGCUUUUCUUUGUUUACAUUUAUUUACUAAUUAAUCUUUUCUUGCCUGUUUGAUUCAUUUUUUGUUGUUUAACUGUUUAAUUAACAGCUUUAAUUAGCUUAUACUUUCAUCAAAAGAUACUGUUAAUCAGGCUGAUUAACACUGUUAAUUAGCUAAAUGUCUUUUCACCUCAAACUUGUAAAGCCUUAUACUGAAAGGAAUACUUUCGACUCUUCAUAUCAAAUCAUCUUUAUUCUUCAAACUAAUUGUGAUUAACCAGGAUGUUAACUUAAUUUUUAAUUGUCACCUGGACUUAUUACGGCUUUAAUUUGGACGUGCAACAAUAAAAAACACCACCAAAUGUUCAAAGGUUGUUGCUGUCCUUUGGCUGGUGAUUGUUUAUGCACGAGAAUCAACAAUCAAUGAAAUUGCAAUGGACUCAUGUUGGCUUUUAUCCUGUUCAACCUACUCUGGCCAAUCCAUCCGAAUCAUGUUAAUCAUGUUAACACUUUACUCUUUAUCAUCAAUAUUAUUAUUCUGUUUCCGUCUUCAAGAACCUUUAGAGUAUUGUAUCAAUGUACCGUUAACACUUUGCGUGUUUGAAUCAAUUGGUGCUGUCUUUUUCGCCCUCAUAAGCAUACUCAUAAUAUUCAUCAACUGUUAUCCUUUGGGACUUUUACUAUCAAUAUUUGGCUUGGCUGGGUCAUUUGCAUUUGGUUACGAUGCUAAGUUAUCCUAUUUUUGGUUUCAUAGUGACAUAUGCAUAACUAAAGUCUGGUGAAUCCCUUUUACGAACCAAAAUGUUUCAAAUUGCUGACCAAUAUUGGUUAAUUUUCAUUCUAUCCAUUCUGAUUGUUUACCUGAUUGUUUACCAGAAAUGUAAAAACAUAACUUUCCAGAUUAACCAACUCAACCUAAAUCUGGCUGCAAUCGAAGGGGUUUAUUAUCAAGAUUUCUGAUUAAAAUUACUUACUUUGGAAUUAAAAUAAAUGAUCAAUAAAUGCUGAAUAAAUUAUUUAAAAGCUGAUUUUUAGCUUAA